AUAUUUAUGACGUCAUUGGUUUACCAUUCUUGUUUGGUGUUUGUUCGAGAUAGCUAUACGAAUAUUAAGCAUACUGAACCCCGUGUAUUUAUUUAUUUACAUUUAGAAUGAGGUAAAAGUGAUUAUUCAACUAUAUUUUGUUAAUUUAGGUUGGUAAAUCUAAUAAGGUUGCUUUGAACAUGAUCACUUAUGUUGGAUCUGCCCUCUCACUAGUUGGUCUGUCUGUCACAUGCAUUGUAUAUAUCGUUCUACAGUAAGUAUGCAGAUAUGUCGAAAAUUUAGCCCAUAGGUUCCAUGUACUUUUGCAUACAACCAGCUUGAAUAUGGAUUAAGUUUGUUUUGUGUUUUUUUUUUGUUUUUGUGUUUUUGUGGGUUUUUUUUUUGUUUUUUGGAUUUUUUCGGGGUUUUUUGGGUUUUUUGUUUUUUGGGGUUUUUUUUUU
rnacentral:lncRNA from 1 species